UUUUUUAUGGAGAGUUUGAUCCUGGCUCAGGACGAACGCUGGCGGCGUGCUUAACACAUGCAAGUCGAACGGUAAGGCCCCUUCGGGGGUACACGAGUGGCGAACGGGUGAGUAACACGUGGGUGACCUGCCCUGUACUUCGGGAUAAGCCUGGGAAACUGGGUCUAAUACCGGAUAUGACCUUCCCCUGCAUGGGGGUUGGUGGAAAGCUUUUGCGGUACAGGAUGGGCCCGCGGCCUAUCAGCUUGUUGGUGGGGUAAUGGCCUACCAAGGCGACGACGGGUAGCCGGCCUGAGAGGGCGACCGGCCACACUGGG
rnacentral:rRNA from 1 species